GGACAAGUGAAUAAGUGCACAUGGUGGAUGCCUUGGCGAUUACAGGCGAUGAAGGACGUAGUAGCUUGCGAUAAGCUGCGGGGAGCUAGCAAACAAGCUUUGAUCCGCAGAUUUCCGAAUGGGGAAACCCGGCCUUUUAGGUCAUUGCAUACUGAAUACAUAGGUAUGCAAAGCGAACGCGGCGAACUGAAACAUCUAAGUAGCUGCAGGAAAAUAAAUCAACCGAGAUUCCCAAAGUAGUGGCGAGCGAAAUGGGAUGAGCCUGCAUGAUUUAGCAUGACGCAUAGUGGAACAGCUUGGAAACGCUGGCCAUAGAGGGUGAUAGCCCCUUACACGAAAUGCGAUGUGUGGAACUAAGCGUGCGACAAGUAGGGCGGGACACGAGAAAUCCUGUCUGAACAUGGGGGGACCAUCCUCCAAGGCUAAAUACUCGUAAUCGACCGAUAGUGAACCAGUACCGUGAGGGAAAGGCGAAAAGAACCCCGGGAGGGGAGUGAAAUAGAUCCUGAAACCGUGUGCAUACAAACAGUAGGAGCGGACUUGUUCCGUGACUGCGUACCUUUUGUAUAAUGGGUCAGCGACUUACAUUCAGUGGCAAGGUUAACCAUAUAGGGAAGCCGUAGAGAAAUCGAGUCCGAAUAGGGCGACAGUCGCUGGGUGUAGACCCGAAACCAAGUGAUCUACUCAUGGCCAGGAUGAAGGUGCGGUAACACGCCCUGGAGGUCCGAACCCACUAAAGUUGAAAAAGUAGGGGGUGUGCUGUGGGUAGGGGUGAAAGGCUAAACAAACUUGGAAAUAGCUGGUUCUCUCCGAAAACUAUUUAGGUAGUGCCUCAAGUAUCACCAUCGGGGGUAGAGCACUGUUAUGGCUAGGGGGUCAUUGCGACUUACCAAACCAUUGCAAACUCCGAAUACCGAUGAGUGCGAGCUUGGGAGACAGACGUCGGGUGCUAACGUCCGGCGUCAAGAGGGAAACAACCCAGACCGCCAGCUAAGGUCCCAAAGAUUGGCUAAGUGGAAAACGAAGUGGGAAGGCUAAAACAGUCAGGAUGUUGGCUUAGAAGCAGCCAUCAUUUAAAGAAAGCGUAAUAGCUCACUGAUCGAGUCGUCCUGCGCGGAAGAUGUAACGGGGCUAAGCCAGUCACCGAAGCUGCGGAUAUUUUUCUCGUAAUUUAUUACUUGAUCAAUAUGGUAGGAGAGCGUUCUGUAAGCCUGUGAAGGUGUCUUGUAAAGGAUGCGGGAGGUA
rnacentral:rRNA from 1 species